UCAAUAACAAUAUUCUCAUAACAUUAAAUAAUAUUCACUGAGCAACGCAACAAUAACAUUCAUAUUUAUAGUACUAUAUAUAUGCACCAAGAUUAAAAGUGACAUAGCCCAAUCAUCAGGAAAUCAGGAAACCCGACCUCAUGUCCAACUAGCUAAAGUACCAAAUUUACCCUUCGAAAGUUCUCGAAGUUGUCGAAUCUACACUUUUGAUCUAAUUCCUGAACAAAUUCAAAUUCAA
rnacentral:lncRNA from 1 species